rnacentral:rRNA from 1 species
GACGAACGCUGGCGGCGUGCUUAACACAUGCAAGUCGAACGGAAAGGCCCUGCUUUUGUGGGGUGCUCGAGUGGCGAACGGGUGAGUAACACGUGAGUAACCUGCCCUUGACUUUGGGAUAACUUCAGGCAACUGGGGCUAAUACCGGCUAGGAGCUCCUGCUGCAGGGUGGGCGUCGGAAAGUUUCGGCGGUUGGGGAUGGACUGGCGGCUUAUCAGCUUGUUGGUGGGGUAGUGGCUUACCCAGGCUUUGACGGGUAGCCGGCCUGAGAGGGUGACCGGCCACAUUGGGACUGAGAUACGGCCCAGACUCCUACGGGAGGCAGCAGUGGGGAAUAUUGCACAAUGGGCGGAAGCCUGAUGCAGCAACGCCGCGUGCGGGAUGACGGCCUUCGGGUUGUAAACCGCUUUAGCCUGUGACGAAGCGUGAGUGACGGUAAUGGGUAAAGAAGCACCGGCUAACUACGUG